AUGAAUGAUAUGUUAUGCAAGCCGUAUUCUGAAGAGGAAAUCUCUAACGCCAUGUUCCAGAUCGGUCCCCUAAAAGCGUCGGGCUAUGACGGUCUGCCUGCCAGGUUCUUUCAGCAUAACUGGGCACUGCUAAAGGUGGAAAUUGUUGCUGCCGUCCGCGAAUUUUUUGUGACUGGUAUUAUGCCGGAAGGGGUUAAUGACACGACUAUUGUGCUAAUUCCGAAGGUCCCUCACCCUAAGGACCUGAAAGAUUUUUGGCCAAUAAGCUUGUGUAAUGUCAUCUACAAGAUUUUCUCGAAGUGUAUGGUGAAUAGAUUGCGGCCUAUUCUGACAGAGCUUAUUUCAGAAAACCAAAGCACCUUCAUCCCUGGGAGGCUAAUCACUGACAACUCCAUAAUAGCAUUUGAGUGUCUCCAUCACAUUCAGAUUGCGAGAAACAAUGCCCCAAGUCUAUGUGCAUACAAGCUUGAUUUAUCUAAAGCCUAUGAUCGGGUGGAUUGGUCUUUUUUGGAGAGAGCCCUGGCUAGGUGGGGAUUUUUAGAGCUAUGGAUUUCUCGUGUUAUGGCAUGUGUGUCCUCCGUCAAGUAUUCAGUGAAAUUUAAUGGCAAAUUAUUGGAGUCCUUCUCCCCGUCUAGGGGACUCCACCAAGGUGAUCCCUUGUCCCCUUUUCUCUUCUUAUUUGUUGCUAAUGCCCUGUCUUUAUUGAUGGAGAAGGCUGCAAGAGAGGACGGGCUCAAGGGUGUUACGAUUUGUAGAGGGGGCCCAGAGAUCACACACCUCUUAUUUGCGGAUGACUCCCUCUUGUUCUUCCAUGCUACGCAACAGCAGGCAUUGUUAGUGAAAGGAGUGUUGAACACGUUUGCGGCGGCAACUGGACAACUUAUAAACCCGUUGAAGUGUUCCAUUCUAUUCUCAGGCCAACACCCAUCCGAUGUGGUAUAA
rnacentral:rRNA from 1 species